rnacentral:rRNA from 3 species
AUGCAUGUCUAAGUACGAGCUCGGAGGAGCGAAACUGCGGAUGGCUCAUUAAAUCAGUCGUGGUCCCUUGGAGCGCAUCCCCCACACGGAUAACUGUGGUAAUUCCAGAGCUAAUACAUGCACCGAAAGCGCCGACCUCGCGGAAGGCGUGCUCUUAUUAGGAACAAGACCAACCCGUCGGUCGGUUCGCGCCGGCCGGCGGCUCUCGUUGGCGAACUCUGGAUAAACAGGCCGACCGCACGGUCGUCGCACCGGCGGCGGAUCCUUCGAGCGUCUGCCCUAUCAACUUUCGAUGGUACGUUACUUGCCUACCAUGGUGGUCACGGGUGACGGAGAAUCAGGGUUCGAUUCCGGAGAGGGAGCUUGAGAAACGGCUACCACA